rnacentral:rRNA from 1 species
GACGUAGGGGGCCAGCGUUGUUCGGAAUUACUGGGUGUAAAGGGUUCGUAGGCGGUGUGGCAAGUCGGGAGUGAAAUCUCUGGGCUCAACCCAGAGUCUGCUUCCGAAACUGCUGUGCUUGAGUGUGGGAGAGGCGCGUGGAAUUGCAGGUGUAGCGGUGAAAUGCGUAGAUAUCUGCAGGAACACCCGUGGCGAAAGCGGCGCGCUGGACCACUACUGACGCUGGAGGAACGAAAGCUAGGGGAGCAAACAGG